AUGAAUCUCUGGCUUAACCAGAGGCUGCUUCGAACUGCCGUGCUAGAGUGGGAGAGAAGCGAGUGAAUUACGGUGUAGCGUGAAAUGCGUAGAUAUCCGUAGACAUCGAGCGAAGGCGGCUCGCUGGAUCACAACUGACGCUGAGGGACGAAAGCUAGGGAGCAAACAGGAUUAGAUACCUGGUAGUCCUAGCCCUAAACCAUCAGGACUUGGGGUUUGCCCUGUACGGGACAAGUCCCGUAGCUAACGCGUUAAGUCCUGCGCCUGGGGAGUACGGUCGCAAGACUGAAACUCAAAGGAAUUGACGGGGGCCCGCACAAGCGGUGGAACAUGUGGUUCAAUUCGACGCAACGCGAAGAACCUUACCUGGGCUUGAACCGCACAGGACCAUCUUUGGAAACAGAGACUUCCCGCAAGGGACCUGUGUAGAGGUGCUGCAUGGCUGUCGUCAGCUCGUGCCGUGAGGUGUUGGGUUAAGUCCCGCAACGAGCGCAACCCUUACUCAUAGUUGCCACCCGCAAGGGGGAACUCUAUGAGGACUGCUCCGGAUAACGGAGAGGAAGGUGGGGAUGAGGUCAAGUCAGCAUGGCCUUUAUGUCCAGGGCUACACACGUGUUACAAUGCGCGCCACAAAGCGUUGCAAACCCGCGAGGGGGAGCUAAUCGCAAAAAAGCGCGCUCAGUUCGGAUUGCAGUCUGCAACUCGACUGCAUGAAGCCGGAAUCGCUAGUAAUGGCGCAUCAGAACGGCGCCGUGAAUACGUUCCCGGGCCUUGUACACACCGCCCGUCACAUCACGAAAGUGGGCUGUACUAGAAAUCGCCGUGCCAACCGCAAGGAGGCAGGCGCUCAAGGUAUGACUCAUGAUUGGGGUGAAGUCGUAACAAGGUAACC
rnacentral:rRNA from 1 species